GGUUAAGCGACUAAGCGUACACGGUGGAUGCCCUGGCAGUCAGAGGCGAUGAAGGACGUGCUAAUCUGCGAUAAGCGUCGGUAAGGUGAUAUGAACCGUUAUAACCGGCGAUUUCCGAAUGGGGAAACCCAGUGUGUUUCGACACACUAUCAUUAACUGAAUCCAUAGGUUAAUGAGGCGAACCGGGGGAACUGAAACAUCUAAGUACCCCGAGGAAAAGAAAUCAACCGAGAUUCCCCCAGUAGCGGCGAGCGAACGGGGAGCAGCCCAGAGCCUGAAUCAGUGUGUGUGUUAGUGGAAGCGUCUGGAAAGGCGCGCGAUACAGGGUGACAGCCCCGUACACAAAAAUGCACAUGCUGUGAGCUCGAUGAGUAGGGCGGGACACGUGGUAUCCUGUCUGAAUAUGGGGGGACCAUCCUCCAAGGCUAAAUACUCCUGACUGACCGAUAGUGAACCAGUACCGUGAGGGAAAGGCGAAAAGAACCCCGGCGAGGGGAGUGAAAAAGAACCUGAAACCGUGUACGUACAAGCAGUGGGAGCACAGAGCAAUCUGUGUGACUGCGUACCUUUUGUAUAAUGGGUCAGCGACUUAUAUUCUGUAGCAAGGUUAACCGAAUAGGGGAGCCGAAGGGAAACCGAGUCUUAACUGGGCGUUAAGUUGCAGGGUAUAGACCCGAAACCCGGUGAUCUAGCCAUGGGCAGGUUGAAGGUUGGGUAACACUAACUGGAGGACCGAACCGACUAAUGUUGAAAAAUUAGCGGAUGACUUGUGGCUGGGGGUGAAAGGCCAAUCAAACCGGGAGAUAGCUGGUUCUCCCCGAAAGCUAUUUAGGUAGCGCCUCGUGAAUUCAUCUCCGGGGGUAGAGCACUGUUUCGGCAAGGGGGUCAUCCCGACUUACCAACCCGAUGCAAACUGCGAAUACCGGAGAAUGUUAUCACGGGAGACACACGGCGGGUGCUAACGUCCGUCGUGAAGAGGGAAACAACCCAGACCGCCAGCUAAGGUCCCAAAGUCAUGGUUAAGUGGGAAACGAUGUGGGAAGGCCCAGACAGCCAGGAUGUUGGCUUAGAAGCAGCCAUCAUUUAAAGAAAGCGUAAUAGCUCACUGGUCGAGUCGGCCUGCGCGGAAGAUGUAACGGGGCUAAACCAUGCACCGAAGCUGCGGCAGCGACGCUGAUGCGUUGUUGGGUAGGGGAGCGUUCUGUAAGCCUGCGAAGGUGUGCUGUGAGGCAUGCUGGAGGUAUCAGAAGUGCGAAUGCUGACAUAAGUAACGAUAAAGCGGGUGAAAAGCCCGCUCGCCGGAAGACCAAGGGUUCCUGUCCAACGUUAAUCGGGGCAGGGUGAGUCGACCCCUAAGGCGAGGCCGAAAGGCGUAGUCGAUGGGAAACAGGUUAAUAUUCCUGUACUUGGUGUUACUGCGAAGGGGGGACGGAGAAGGCUAUGUUGGCCGGGCGACGGUUGUCCCGGUUUAAGCGUGUAGGCUGGUUUUCCAGGCAAAUCCGGAAAAUCAAGGCUGAGGCGUGAUGACGAGGCACUACGGUGCUGAAGCAACAAAUGCCCUGCUUCCAGGAAAAGCCUCUAAGCAUCAGGUAACAUCAAAUCGUACCCCAAACCGACACAGGUGGUCAGGUAGAGAAUACCAAGGCGCUUGAGAGAACUCGGGUGAAGGAACUAGGCAAAAUGGUGCCGUAACUUCGGGAGAAGGCACGCUGAUAUGUAGGUGAAGUCCCUCGCGGAUGGAGCUGAAAUCAGUCGAAGAUACCAGCUGGCUGCAACUGUUUAUUAAAAACACAGCACUGUGCAAACACGAAAGUGGACGUAUACGGUGUGACGCCUGCCCGGUGCCGGAAGGUUAAUUGAUGGGGUCAGCGCAAGCGAAGCUCUUGAUCGAAGCCCCGGUAAACGGCGGCCGUAACUAUAACGGUCCUAAGGUAGCGAAAUUCCUUGUCGGGUAAGUUCCGACCUGCACGAAUGGCGUAAUGAUGGCCAGGCUGUCUCCACCCGAGACUCAGUGAAAUUGAACUCGCUGUGAAGAUGCAGUGUACCCGCGGCAAGACGGAAAGACCCCGUGAACCUUUACUAUAGCUUGACACUGAACAUUGAGCCUUGAUGUGUAGGAUAGGUGGGAGGCUUUGAAGUGUGGACGCCAGUCUGCAUGGAGCCGACCUUGAAAUACCACCCUUUAAUGUUUGAUGUUCUAACGUGGACCCGUAAUCCGGGUUGCGGACAGUGUCUGGUGGGUAGUUUGACUGGGGCGGUCUCCUCCUAAAGAGUAACGGAGGAGCACGAAGGUUGGCUAAUCCUGGUCGGACAUCAGGAGGUUAGUGCAAUGGCAUAAGCCAGCUUGACUGCGAGCGUGACGGCGCGAGCAGGUGCGAAAGCAGGUCAUAGUGAUCCGGUGGUUCUGAAUGGAAGGGCCAUCGCUCAACGGAUAAAAGGUACUCCGGGGAUAACAGGCUGAUACCGCCCAAGAGUUCAUAUCGACGGCGGUGUUUGGCACCUCGAUGUCGGCUCAUCACAUCCUGGGGCUGAAGUAGGUCCCAAGGGUAUGGCUGUUCGCCAUUUAAAGUGGUACGCGAGCUGGGUUUAGAACGUCGUGAGACAGUUCGGUCCCUAUCUGCCGUGGGCGCUGGAGAACUGAGGGGGGCUGCUCCUAGUACGAGAGGACCGGAGUGGACGCAUCACUGGUGUUCGGGUUGUCAUGCCAAUGGCACUGCCCGGUAGCUAAAUGCGGAAGAGAUAAGUGCUGAAAGCAUCUAAGCACGAAACUUGCCCCGAGAUGAGUUCUCCCUGACUCCUUGAGAGUCCUGAAGGAACGUUGAAGACGACGACGUUGAUAGGCCGGGUGUGUAAGCGCAGCGAUGCGUUGAGCUAACCGGUACUAAUGAACCGUGAGGCUUAACCUU
rnacentral:rRNA from 1 species